rnacentral:rRNA from 1 species
GAUGAACGCUGGCGGCGUGCCUAAUACAUGCAGGUCGAACGCACAGCGAAAGGUGCUUGCACCUUUCAAGUGAGUGGCGAACGGGUGAGUAACACGUGGACAACCUGCCUCAAGGCUGGGGAUAACAUUUGGAAACAGAUGCUAAUACCGAAUAAAACUCAGUGUCGCAUGACACAAAGUUAAAAGGCGCUUUGGCGUCACCUAGAGAUGGAACCGCGGUGCAUUAGUUAGUUGGUGGGGUAAAGGCCUACCAAGACAAUGAUGCAUAGCCGAGUUGAGAGACUGAUCGGCCACAUUGGGACUGAGACACGGCCCAAACUCCUACGGGAGGCUGCAGUAGGGAAUCUUCCACAAUGGGCGAAAGCCUGAUGGAGCAACGCCGCGUGUGUGAUGAAGGCUUUCGGGUCGUAAAGCACUGUUGUAUGGGAAGAACAGCUAGAAUAGGGAAUGAUUUUAGUUUGACGGUACCAUACCAGAAAGGGACGGCUAAAUACGUGCCAGCCGCCGCAGUAA